ensembl:lncRNA
AGGCUAUGUUUUUCUGAUCUAAAACGCGAAAACAUCGCUUUUCAGAUUUAUCCGCUUUGGAGAACGGAUUCAAAAAUGCUGUUUCGUUGUGGAUGCGAAACCAAACGGGAUACAUUUUACAAAGACUGGACUGGGCCUUAUUUAAACUCGUAAAGGCAGUCCAUAACGUUACAUUGCUUUUUAUUACGUCGCUUUCUGCCUCUGAACAUUUGCACGGAACAUGUUUAUGCUAUAAAAUAUCAGAUAUACAGCAGUACACAACAGCUCUGAUCAAAUUCUCAAAGAAACAUUACAUCAGGUGGAAUUAAACAUGGAGUCAGUAUAGUUGAUUUUUAAGUUGGAAUAUUUGGCAACCUGACUUUCGAUCAGCUGUCAAGAAAAAACUCCCUGGCUCCCCAAUGCUCUGUAAACAUGAGAAACAUUAAUAAUGUGGACCACAUCUAACAUCCAACCAAAUUUAAACUUCCCUGUCAAUAUAGCAAGCUCUGCCUCUCUUACUAGCCUCUCUUACUAGCUUUUUUAGGCAUGUGUUGUGGGGGGUGUGGCUAUAUAAAUUAGCUGUAAUGAUUUGGACUUUCAAACCAGCUAAUUUCUGCCAAAACUGCUAACUAUACCUUUAACAUCCUCUUAGCCCUGCCAAAAAAAAAAAAAAGAAAACCCCGUCAGUUACGACGCCAGCUUACGCUACUGCGACGUCACCUUCUUGUACAUGUUAACUCAUUUUGAAUCUUGCAUGUAGAAUUUCUACUGUACUAACACCAGAAUAGAAAUUAGAAGAAGGUAGAUGCUGUUUUUAAAAAUCUGUUUUUUGAGAUAACAUGAAUUUGGGUUUUUUUUGUUUUUUUCUAGAGAUAUAGACAUCUGCUACACGUAUAUUAUCAUAAAGUAAUAAAGGGAAUUAAGGGGAUUGAUCAGUACAUUGCAGUAGAUAUAGGAUGAGGUGUGGCUGCUGCUAAAAAAAAGCUUCCUCAGUGACUCAGUUGUAUUUCACUGACACAUUCCUUAUUGCAUUUGAGGUAUGUUUUAAUUUAAGGCCAUAUCAGGAUUUAGACUUUGCUACUGCGUCGUUAUUUUGGGUUGAAACCCAACAUGAGACUGAAACAGACAAUACAACGCAAAUGAAAUCUCUAACUGCCCAUGGAUUAUUCUGUUUGUUAGACCUAGUGAUUAGGGACCAAGUGACACGUCAGAAUGCUGAAAAAUUCUACGAUUUAACAAUGUGCAGUAAUUCUGGACGAUACACAUUUCUAGUUUCCUGUUAGGCUGCAGAUAAAAUCACAGCCAAAACGUAAUAUUCUUCUGUCCAUUUACCGUAAACAGCUCUCAUUAGAGUUGAAAGCCGCAGAUGAUGAGGAAGCAUUUACCAUGUAAAGUUUAAACUGCCAUUGGCUUUGCCCUUUUAUCCUAGGAUCAUUUUAGCUAUGUGCCAAUUGAAAGGUCUGAAUUCUGUGAUUUUUUUGUGACAAUAUGGUCAGCAAUCACACACACCCACCUACACACACACACACACGCACACACACACACACACACACACACACACACACACACACACACA